rnacentral:rRNA from 1 species
GACUUCUGGUUUAAUGUGCCUGGCCCGCGGCUCUUUAGGCUUGUGUGUGCCGGUGCGCGUUUACCAUCCUUCUGGGGAACGAGUCUACCCUUAACUGGGCCGGAUUCGUCCAGAUCAUUUACUUUGAAAAAAUUAGAGUGUUUAAAGCAGGCUAUUGCUAUGAAUACAUUAGCAUGGAAUAAUAAUCUAGGACUUCGGUUCUAUUUUGUUGGUUUCUAUAACUGAAGUAAUGAUUGAUAGGGAUAGUUGGGGGUGCUAGUAUUGGCCGGUCAGAGGUGAAAUUCUUGGAUUCGGUCAAGACUAACUUAUGCGAAAGCAUU